UACGUAGGAUGCAAGCGUUGUCCGGAAUUAUUGGGCGUAAAGAGCGAGCAGGCGGUUUGGAAAGUUGGACGUGAAAUUUUAGGGCUUAACCCUAAAGGGUCGUCCAAAACUCCCAGACUAGAGUGCAGGAGAGGAAAGCGGAAUUCCCGGUGUAGUGGUGAAAUGCGUAGAUAUCGGGAGGAACACCUGUGGCGAAAGCGGCGCACUGGACCACAUCUGACGCUGAGGCGCGAAAGCUAGGGGAGCAAACAGG
rnacentral:rRNA from 1 species